rnacentral:rRNA from 1 species
CAGCCGCCGCGGUAAUACGAAGGGGGCUAGCGUUGUUCGGAUUUACUGGGCGUAAAGGGCGCGUAGGCGGACUGAUAAGUCAGGGGUGAAAUCCCAAGGCUCAACCUUGGAACUGCCUCUGAUACUGUUUGUCUUGAGUUCGAGAGAGGUAAGUGGAACUGCGAGUGUAGAGGUGAAAUUCGUAGAUAUUCGCAAGAACACCAGUGGCGAAGGCGGCUUACUGGCUCGAUACUGACGCUGAGGCGCGAAAGCGUGGGGAGCAAACAGGAUUAGAUACCCCAGUAGUCCCUGUCUCUUAUAC